CUGCCCCAGCCCUUGUGACAGUGGCUUCUUCUGCCUCAGUGCCUGCAGCGGCCUCCCAGCUCAGCCAGAGGAGCCACUGUGCCGCUGUCAGUCGCUCCCACAGAAAGAUGGAAGCCCAGGCUGUGCAAGUCAGCUGGCCUAGUAAGGAGAGAACCUCCUCCUCAGAGGCCAAAGGAGGGAGAGCGGUAGAAUCGGCUGGCAGACGAUGCUUGCGACUGAGGAGAUGGUGGCGGAGAGGAGCAUCAGCACCGGAGUCAGGUGCUCAGAGACCAACGUCUGGGACAUCUUGCUCCUGCUCCAGCUGCAACCGCUGCAGCAAAGCUGACCAGGAGCUGCAGCAGCUGGUGCUAUCGGUGCUGCCGCAGCACGUGGCUACUCCUGGUCCUGAAUUCUGGGUGAUGGCCUGGAGGGACCUGGAGGAGCUGGUGGAGCAAGGAAGCCUGUCCUGCUGCAGCUCUGCCAAUGACCAGAGUGAGGUGCAGCGUGGAGCAUCAGCUUCUGAGUCAAG
ensembl:lncRNA